GGGCGCAUAGCUCAGCGGUAGAGCGCUUGCCUUACAAGCAAGAUGUCACAGGUUCGAUCCCUGUUGCGCCCA
rnacentral:tRNA from 3 species